GUCAACACACUCCUCAGAAACAAUCUGUUGAAUGUGAGGCAAGAGCAGCAAAUCAUCAAUGCUCUCAUAUAAGUUUCUGAGGCCAUUUGCAGUGCGGUUGAUGGAUGAGAGCGACGAGCAAGCAUCCUCGGAAGAUCUCAAUAUGGAUAAGUUCUCAUCGAAGUGAGUAAUAGCAGGAUGUGAUGAGGAUGGGAAGCUAAGAGAGCGGCCAUGGUUAAGUGACUUGGAUCUCAAAGGUGAGGGAGCCAUUGUUUUAUUAGGUGAAAGUAAGGCUUAGAAUUGAAUUGAAUCAAGAAAAUUGUGAUGCAUCUAAAAACAAUGUAUGUGCUUAUUAUAUAGUGGGGAAGAGGACUCAAGGAAUCUGCAUUAUUUUCCCAAUGACAGACCAUAAAUAACUGCCAU
rnacentral:lncRNA from 1 species